rnacentral:lncRNA from 1 species
GUGUGCAAGGGGAGGGGGCAUGAGUUCACCGGGGGGGGUGUGCAAAGAGGGAGUGGUUGCAUGAAGUGUGAGUGUGCAAAGGAGAGUGAAUGAGUGUAAGUGCAAGGGGAGUGUGCACGAGGAGUGGGUGUGCAAGGAGUGUGAGCGAGGGGGGGCACGAGGAGUGGGUGUGCAAGGUGAGUGUGUAAUACGUGAGGGUGGGUGAGUGUGUGACGGGGGUCCAUUGGGUGUGAGUGUGCAAGGUGGGUGUGCAAGGUGAGUGUGUAAUACGUGAGGGUGGGUGAGUGUGCAAUGGGGGUCCAUUGGGUGNGGUGAGUGUGUAAUACGUGAGGGUGGGUGAGUGUGCAAUGGGGGUCCAUUGGGUGUGAGUGUGCAAGGUGGGUGUGCAAGGUGAGUGUGUAAUACAUGAGUACUCUACACAAGUGUGCACAAUGGGUGUGAGCACACAAGUGUGCAAGGUGGGGGUGAGCACACAGUGGGGGUGUGCACGGCAGCACACGAGUGUGCACCACCAUAGUGCAAGCCCCCCUUGCACACAUGCACACCAUAGUCGUGCAAGGCGUUGUGCAUGAGUAGUUGCUUGCACACACGUGUGCAAGGGGGGGUCCCUUUAAAGGGGGGGUGUCAAGGACUCACACAAUCGUUGUGCAAGGCUUCAUGCACAAGUGCUUGCACACGCGUGUGCAAGGGGGGUCCAAGACCUCAUGCACAAGCGAUCGCACACACGCGUGUGCAAGGGGGGGUCCCUUUAAAGGGGAUGUGGGUCCCUUUAAANGGGGGGUGGGUGGGUGUCAAGUGCUUGCACACGCGUGUGCAAGGGGGGUCCCUUUAAAGGGGGGGUGUCCCUGGGGGUGUGUCGGGGGGGGUUUCGGGGGGGUCCUCGUGCAACAGUUGUGUGACACGCCGCAGUCGUGCAGCCGCGUCCUCGUGCUCACGUUGCAGCCGGCGGUUGCUGCGUCGCAGCGUCCGCAGCUCAGCGUGCAAACGGGCCUUCGCCUCCUGCUCCUAUGGGGACACACGGUGACCCAUAGCGGGACCCAUAGCGGGACCCAUAGCGGGACCCAUAGCGGGACCCAUAGUGCCCCAUAGCACCCCAUAGUGCCACCAUAGCACCCCAUAGAGCCACCAUAGCAUCCCAUAGUGCCCCAUAGCACACCAUAGUGCCCCAUAGCGGGACCCAUAGCGGGACCCAUAGCACCCUAUAGGGCCCCAUAGCACCCCAUAGAGCCACCAUAGCACCCCAUAGUGCCCCAUAGCGUCCCAUAGUGCCCCAUAGCAUCUCAUAGUGACUCAUAGCACCCCAUAGUGCCUCAUAGCGGGACCCAUAGCGGGACCCAUAGCAUCCCAUAGCGCCCCAUAGAGCCCCCAUAGCAUCCCAUAGCGCCCCAUAGCACACCAUAGAGCCACCAUAGCAUCCCAUAGUGCCCCAUAGCACCCCAUAGAGCCACCAUAGCAUCCCAUAGUGCCCCAUAGCACCCCAUAGUGCCCCAUAGAGCCACCAUAGCACCCCAUAGCGCCCCAUAGAGCCCCACUGCACCCUAUAGGGCCCCAUAGAGCCACCAUAGCACCCCACAGUGCACCAUAGCACCCCAUAGAGCCCCAUUGCACCCUAUAGGGCCCCAUAGAGCCACCAUAGCACUCCAUAGAGCCACCAUAGCACCCCAUAGUGCCCCAUAGCGUCCCAUAGAGCCCCAUAGUGUCCCAUAGCAUCCCAUAGUGACCCAUAGCACCGAAUACUGCCCCAUAGCGGGACCCAUAGCGGGACCCAUAGCAUCCCAUACUGCACCAUAGCACCCCAUAGUGCCCCAUAGUGGGACCAUAGUGCCCAUAGCGGUCCAUAGAGCCGCCCAUAGUGCCCAUAGCAUCCAUAAGUGACCCCAUAGCACCCAUAGUGCCCA